UACGUAGGCAGCGAGCGUUGUUCGGAGUUACUGGGCGUAAAGGGUGUGUAGGCGGUUGUUUAAGUUUGGUGUGAAAUCUACCGGCUCAACCGGGAGGGUGCGCCGAAUACUGAAUGACUUGGAGUGCGGGAGAGGAAAGUGGAAUUCCAGGUGUAGCGGUGAAAUGCGUAGAUAUCUGGAGGAACACCGGUGGCGAAGGCGGCAUCCUGGACCGGCAUUGACGCUGAGGAGCGAAAGCCAGGGGAGCAAACGGG
rnacentral:rRNA from 1 species